GUUUUGUUGUAUACACAUUCUUUUACAAUACAUCGACUCAUUUUGACACUAAAAUCACAAAAAAACAGAAUUGCUUGCGUUAUUAACCUUCAAUCUUCAACGACACGAAACAAAAUAUGAGCCAUAGAAAAAAGUGUUGCGUGAUUUGCGCCAUCUCAGCACCUGGUUAAAUGGAAGGAUACUACAAAUCUGGCCUCCACCUAAGUGGUCUGUAGCUUCGACAUGAUAGGUGUGAAAUUUUAAACGCUCUUGUUGUUGAUUGGAUAGGAAGGGUGCCAUAAUCUAGCCUCCAUGCUAGGUACAUAGCCUAGCCUCCAUACGGUACUUCCAAUAUUUAAUAUUUUAUUCAAUUGGACAAUAAAGGUAAAACACAAACAA